CAGAACGAACGCUGGCGGCAUGCUUAACACAUGCAAGUCGAACGAGACCCCAACUUCGGUUGGACGUCUAGUGGCGCACGGGUGCGUAACGCGUGGGAAUCUGCCCUUUGCUACGGAAUAACUCAGAGAAAUUUGUGCUAAUACCG
rnacentral:rRNA from 1 species